rnacentral:tRNA from 1 species
UGGGGAGUCGCCAAGCGGUAAGGCACCGGGUUUUGAUCCCGGCAUUCCCAGGUUCGAAUCCUGGCUCCCCAGCCA